rnacentral:rRNA from 1 species
AUGAACGCUAGCUACAGGCUUAACACAUGCAAGUCGAGGGGCAGCAUGGUCUUAGCUUGCUAAGGCCGAUGGCGACCGGCGCACGGGUGAGUAACACGUAUCCAACCUGCCGUCUACUCUUGGACAGCCUUCUGAAAGGAAGAUUAAUACAAGAUGGCAUCAUGAGUUCACAUGUUCACAUGAUUAAAGGUAUUCCGGUAGACGAUGGGGAUGCGUUCCAUUAGAUAGUAGGCGGGGUAACGGCCCACCUAGUCUUCGAUGGAUAGGGGUUCUGAGAGGAAGGUCCCCCACAUUGGAACUGAGACACGGUCCAAACUCCUACGGGAGGCAGCAGUGAGGAAUAUUGGUCAAUGGGCGCAGGCCUGAACCAGCCAAGUAGCGUGAAGGAUGACUGCCCUAUGGGUUGUAAACUUCUUUUAUAAAGGAAUAAAGUCGGGUAUGUAUACCCGUUUGCAUGUACUUUAUGAAUAAGGAUCGGCUAACUCCGUGCCAGCAGCCGCGGUAAUACGGAGGAUCCGAGCGUUAUCCGGAUUUAUUGGGUUUAAAGGGAGCGUAGAUGGAUGUUUAAGUCAGUUGUGAAAGUUUGCGGCUCAACCGUAAAAUUGCAGUUGAUACUGGAUAUCUUGAGUGCAGUUGAGGCAGGCGGAAUUCGUGGUGUAGCGGUGAAAUGCUUAGAUAUCACGAAGAACUCCGAUUGCGAAGGCAGCCUGCUAAGCUGCAACUGACAUUGAGGCUCGAAAGUGUGGGUAUCAAACAGGAUUAGAUACCCUGGUAGUCCACACGGUAAACGAUGAAUACUCGCUGUUUGCGAUAUACUGCAAGCGGCCAAGCGAAAGCGUUAAGUAUUCCACCUGGGGAGUACGCCGGCAACGGUGAAACUCAAAGGAAUUGACGGGGACCCGCACAAGCGGUGGAGCAUGUGGUUUAAUUCGAAGCAACGCGAAGAACCUUACCAAGUCUUGACAUCCUUCUGACCGGUACUUAACCGUACCUUCUCUUCGGAGCAGGAGUGACAGGUGGUGCAUGGUUGUCGUCAGCUCGUGCCGUGAGGUGUCGGCUUAAGUGCCAUAACGAGCGCAACCCUUGUUGUCAGUUACUAACAGGUUCCGCUGAGGACUCUGACAAGACUGCCAUCGUAAGAUGUGAGGAAGGUGGGGAUGACGUCAAAUCAGCACGGCCCUUACGUCCGGGGCUACACACGUGUUACAAUGGGGGGUACAGAGGGCCGCUACCACGCGAGUGGAUGCCAAUCCCCAAAACCUCUCUCAGUUCGGACUGGAGUCUGCAACCCGACUCCACGAAGCUGGAUUCGCUAGUAAUCGCGCAUCAGCCACGGCGCGGUGAAUACGUUCCCGGGCCUUGUACACACCGCCCGUCAAGCCAUGGGAGCCGGGGGUACCUGAAGUGCGUAACCGCGAGGAGCGCCCUAGGGUAAAACUGGUGACUGGGGCU